GGCAUUAGCACCAGCAUGUUAUCACCGUGUUGCCGCAACACACCCAUUCAAUGUGUCUAUCUGUCUGUCCGUAUGUAUGUAAGUGGUUGCUCAGGCUUUGUUCUAAAAAUUUCAUUCAUUUUCACUGGAGCCGGGCGCCGCCAGCAGCAAUAGCAGCAAACGAUCGAAGAAUGCCAACUGCUGAGUUGGAUGUGUACAAAAGACCUUGCCAAUGGUCAUAGGGAUAAUAAAGAUAAUAACGAAGAUGAAAAUAGUAACGAUGACUGUCGAGAAUAUGAAAAUGUUGAGGCUAAAGAUAAUCAUUGCGACUAUAUGUUGUAAGUGGGGCAAAUAAACUCACACACAUAAUUUACUUACCAUCAUAUCCUGAGGAACGUAGAAAUCCGACACUGCCGCUGCUAAAUAUAGCAACGCUCUCUCCUCGAAAGCCGCUAAGCAUUCACAGGCGGCACGUAAUAGCCACAAAUAGUCCGCCACCGUAUUAAAGUUAACAUACAAAAUCAUUUGAGAUUCGCGGGCUUGUUUAUAUUUGGCUAAUAUUGGUGCGAAUACAUCAACUGAAUCCGGUUUCACCGUAAUCGAUGUACUCUGCCCAUUAUCGGUAAUGUCGAGCAUAUCAAAAAAUUGUUGGCCGGUAAGGUGACGUGUAAACGGUUCCAGUGACUUGACGCGGUACAUAAAUAUAACGGCGUAGUCAUGAUCGAGGAAAUAUUCAGCGGAUGCUGAGCCACGUGUGCCCGCACUAAAAUUAUCCACAAAGCGUACGGUAUUGUGCUCCAGAGGUACUGUGGUCCCACCUGACUGAAAUUAGGGAAAAUGUAAACAAAAAUCAAAAUAUAUAUUUUUGGGGUUCGAUAACAAAAUAUAUGCCGACAUUAGUUGGGUAACUUAAAAAAACUUUUUUACACUUACCGUAAUAAGGACGAUACGGUUCUGUAGUUUAUUGUGUCGUUCACAGAAUUCUUUCAAUAACGAACGAUUAUCCUCGAAAUCAGUUGGCGGUAAAUGUGUAUUAUAAAAAUCCUCCCAGUGCGUCAUGUUGAACAAAUUUUUAAUAGGAUUAUGUGUAUAUAUUUAUAUAAACUGUGCGACGUAUUUGAAACGUAUUUUCGUAGUGAAUUUCACGGUCACAAGCGUUUGCAAUGUUUGCGUGGCAAAUAUAGUUUUCUGUUUGUAGAUUUGCUUUUAACUGUAGUUGGCUUGGUUUUUCAAUUUCAAUUUUGAUUGAAUUA